rnacentral:rRNA from 1 species
UGCGAAGGGGGCUAGCGUUGCUCGGAAUCACUGGGCGUAAAGGGUGCGUGGGCGGGUCUUUAAGUCAGGGGUGAAAUCCUGGAGCUCAACUCCAGAACUGCCUUUGAUACUGAAGAUCUUGAGUUCGGGAGAGGUGAGUGGAACUGCGAGUGUAGAGGUGAAAUUCGUAGAUAUUCGCAAGAACACCAGUGGCGAAGGCGGCUCACUGGCCCGAUACUGACGCUGAGGCACGAAAGCGUGGGGAGCAAACAGG